rnacentral:rRNA from 1 species
ACGGCUCAGUAACACGUAGUUAAUCUACCCUUAGGUUAAGGAUACCCACGGGAAACUGUGGCUAACACUUAAUAGAGGUAAGACGCUGGAACGCACUUACCUUGAAACUCGUGCCUAAGGAUGAGACUGCGCUCGAUUAGCUUGUUGGUGGGGUAACUGCCUACCAAGGCGAUGAUCGAUACGGGCUCUUAGCGGAGUUGCCCGGAGACGGAAUCUGAGACACUAUUCCGAGCUCUACGGAGUGCAGCAGUCGCGAAUCUUUUACAAUGCACGCAAGUGUGAUAAAGCGAACCAAAGUGUUUUUCGUAUAGAAAAACUUUUCUUCACUGUAAAAAUGUGGGGGAAUAAGGACUGGGAAAGACUGGUGCCAGCCGCCGCGGUAAUACCAGCAGUUCAAGUUGCAUCCCUUUUUAUUGGGUCUAAAACAUCCGUAGCUUGUUUAACAAGUUCUCUGUGAAAUCUUAUCUCUCAAGGAUCAGGCGAGCAGGGAAUACUAUUAAACUAGAGACUGGAAGACGUAAGAAGUAUGAUCAAAGUAGUGGUAAAAUACUUUAAUCUUGGUCAGACUACCAAUAGCGAAGGCAUCUUACGAGGACAGUUCUGACAGUAAAGGAUGAAGGCUAGGGGCGCAAAACGGAUUAGAUACCCGUGUAGUCCUAGCAGUAAACACUGCACACUAAACAUCAGUACCUCUUCGAGAGGUAUUGGUGCUGAAGGGAAGCCGAAGAGUGUGCUACCUGGGAAGUAUAAUCGCAAGGUCGAAACUUAAAGGAAUUGGCGGGGGAGCAC